rnacentral:rRNA from 1 species
AUGCACUUUCUUCCCCGUCUUCCACUCUUCUUCCUCCUCUCUUCUUCUUCCUCCUCUCUUCUUCUUCCUCCUUUCUUCCCCAUCGUCGGCCGCACACCAUUUACCCCCGCUCACUGCUCGCCCGCCCGCGCCAUCUUCCUUGACGCAAAUGCGCUGGCCUUCAUGAUUCCAGGACCUGGAACCAUACCAGCCGAUGGCACGACCCUCUUUUGUUGGAUAUUAUUACCAUAUAACUGGAAUUACCGAUGCAAGUCGAAGAAGGAUUGGCCGGUGCUGCCGGCUGGCGUCAAGUUCGAUCCCACGGAUCAGGAGCUGAUCGAGCACCUUGAGGCCAAAGUGAGUGCUGACAGCGCGAGAUUUCAGUCUCUGAUCGAUUUGUUCAUACCAACCAUCGACAGCGAGCACGACAUAUGCUACACCCAACUUGAGAAACUUCCAGCGCAAUUCCAGGGCGUUCAAAAGGGGCAUGUGGACGCGUCGCAAGAUACAGUCGGAGUGCGGUAUGCACGCGAUGUGGCACAAGACCGGCAAUACCUUGCCGGUGAUGGUCAACGGCCGGCAAGACGGGCAGCAAAAAAGGUUCUGGUGCUGCACACCAACAAGAAGUUCGACCAGCAGAGGACCAACUGGGUGAUGCACCAGUACCACCUCGGGGACCUGGAGCAAGAGAAGGAGCGGGAGCUGGUCCUCUGCAAGAUUUUCUACCAGACGAACACUAGGGCCAGGAGUCGAGCAAGUUUCAACUGGGCUGUAGACUGCCCAGGGUUGGUUUUGUCUUUAACAGGCCCAACCCAUGACGACAACGGGGCACAAAGAUCCAGCAGGAAAAACCAUGCUGAAAUCUUUAUUAUCACUAGUGGGCUUGAUGUAGUGAUUCAGGAAGAAGUUGUUGAUAAAUCUUCUAACCAUCAGCAAUUCACCAGCGGGAAGCGGUUCAGGGGCCAUCGGUUCAAAGAUGAGUUGCAGGAUUUUUAA